GAUGAAGAACGCAGCGAAAUGCGAUACGUAGUGUGAAUUGCAGAAUUCGGUGAAUCAUCGAAUCUUUGAACGCACAUUGCACCUCUCGGUAUUCCGGGAGGUAUGCCUGUUCGAGCGUCAUUUGUACCCUCAAGCUCUGCUUGGUGUUGGGUGUUUGUUCCGCCUCUGUGUGUGAACUCGCCUCAAAACAAUUGGCAGCCGGCGUACUUGUUUCGGAGCGCAGCACAUUUUGCGAUCCAGAUCAACGUACAGCGGCAUCCAAGAAGCCUUAUUUAACGCUCUUGACCUCGGAUCAGGUAGGGAUACCCGCUGAACUUAAGCAUAUCAAUAAGCGGAGGA
rnacentral:misc_RNA from 1 species